CUUGGGUCUGGAGGAUGGGUGGGCAUAAGAUUUGUCAAGGCCUCCUCUUCCUGUGCCCAACCACCCUGCCUUGUAGGAAACUAUCAGAACAACAAGAGGCAACAGAAACACCCCUCCCUUCCCAUCUACACCAGGGGAACUGAUAGAUUGUGGGGACGGAGCAUUAUUGCACAGGAAUCUUUUGGGGAAAAGCAGCUGAGAAGAGACACAGUAUUGGUUAUCCUGAAAUUCUGGAGGAAUCAAGAAGGAUCAGCUGUCCGUCUCUUCAAGGAAGAAAAUUCUCUCUGCUGAUCAGAAAUGUUGCUGGUCCCUUGAGUGAUUUCUUCUUCUUACUGAAAUUUUCCAAUGUUUGUGGGCCUCACCAGAGUAUCCAUCUGGUUCUUCCUUUGUAAUCGUUUAUCUUUAUUUUUUAAAGCUAUCUUUCAAACAAGAGGCUGCAAUUGUUUACGAGCUUGUUUGGCUUGGAAAUCCUCCUCAUUGCAGCUUUGAAAAGCUCCCGCCAGCCUCUUUCCUCCACUGUAGGUGGAUGCUGCCUU
rnacentral:lncRNA from 1 species